GGUCAUUAGCUGAUGAUGAUGACAAAUCUCGGGGUGAAUGGGGCAAGGCCACUGUUUCUGGUUCUGGUUCUUCUUCUGCUCCUGACAUGAUGGCGUAACGAGCCGGGUGAAAAUCAGCAUUGAAAUUGUUGCGUUUAAUAUUGUAAAAAGAGAAAAGUCAACUGCCAGUUACAGCUACAGAUAUCAUAUUGCCAUUUAGCACCAUCUGCUUCAGUCCCGAUGACCAAUAACUCAGCCGCUUGACUUGGCCCAAAACGGGUCUCUCGUCAAGCUGACAUUUAAGCCGCAUUCCAACAGCUCCUUGACAGCUUCAGCCUCAAAGAUAUCCUUAAGCGGCAGCAUCCUCGGAAACACACACGUCCCAUUAAAUAGCCUCUGGCUUUAAGUGCGAGUGCUGUGCGAGUGAUACGGCAGCAGACUGGCAUGGGCAGGAACAGGGGCAGGGCAGACAUCAAGUGGCCGAAAUUAAAAUCUGCAGCAAACACUUGACACGGCCACCCGUAUGGGUGGGGGCUGGUGAGAGGCGGCAUCAUGUGGUAUGCUAUGGUGUGUCAGAGGCCAGGGAGCUGUUGUCAAAGUGCAAACUACAUAAGUGACAAAAAAUUACGCAUACGCACAGUGCCACUGGUUCUGUCGCUGCGAUAAUAACGUAUAAUGAAAGCAACCAGAGCGCAAUAUAUUGAAGUGUCUGCGUGUCGUGCUCAUUAACACUUUGUUGGGAUGCUGGGUGGCAGAGCAGACCUCAAGUUUGUUGAGAAGUGGAGAGCGCCAACUCGGAGGAGAGACACAGAGUACAGAGGAGUGUGAAAAGCAGAACAGUAGUACUCGUAAAUCAUUGAAACUGUGAGAGAAAAUAUGUCUAACAAGGAAGAAAGCUAUAGUCGACUAAAGGAUACCCGCUUUUGGAAAUGACUACAAACAGUCGGACGAGGAAUAUUUCCACGAACACAGCAAGAGUCUACCCUUGUAAUCUCCAUG
rnacentral:sRNA from 1 species